rnacentral:pre_miRNA from 1 species
AUUGGGGAGGGAAGGUCCCUCAGCCUGGAUUGUGAGAGGGCGCAAGCCAGGCCAAGGGACCCCACUGGUGUACA